AACCUUCCCACAGUCCCAAAGCAACUCGACAGAAUUCAAGGAAAAGGAGGCAUGAUGGAAAACAGCACCCAGACCACCAGGCACCACCCCAGAGAGCAGCACUCACCCUCCCCCACUCUUCAGCACCCCAAGCAGAGGUUCUGUCGCCGCCGGACGGGUACUGCCGGUGCUACCGGAGAGGUGCUAUGACGGGCACCGGGAGAGGACCCGCGGCGUCCAACUCCCCCGGGCCCCACCGAGCCGCAUGUGCUCCUCGGUCCCGGAAACCGAGGCGGGGAACCCCAGGGGAAGACCCCGGAGGCCGCGCAGCCCCGGGAUGGACUGACUGCCCGGGACCGUCCCGUGUCCGCACCUCCGACCGCCGCGAGGACACAGUCGGUUCCCGACCCUCCUCUCCCCCAGAGCGAUGUCCCUGUGCCCUGCUGAGGUGUUUCCGUUCUGCGGAACAGUGUCACUGUCCCCGAUACCACUCUUCCUUAUCCUGAACGAUCUGCGUGAGCCCCGUUUGCCCCGUUACGAUGUUGCCGUACCCCGGUCCACUGUGUCUGGCACCCGGUACAAUGUCCUUGAGCCCUCUCUCCUCCGGUAAGAGUCCCUCUUCCCCGACGCGAUGUUCCCGUUCCCCGGUAUAGCGACCCUGUCCCCCUGUACGGUGUCCUGGAGCCCACUCCUCUCCGUCCCCGUACAACUUUCCCGUCCCGCGGUGCGAUGUCCUCGCCCCCCGGUGCGGUGUCCCGGUCCCCCGGGACGGGAUCUCUCUGCCCCAGCCGUUCGGGUGCUGCCACUCCCGCAGCUCGCCCCGAUGGGAGGCACUCCUCUCCUCCACCCCCACGCCUGCUGGUCCGUGUGUCCCCCGCCUCGGGUGACACCGAUCCCUCCUUGCUCGCCGUGCUCGGUGCUGCGCAGCCCGGCCUAGGGCAGGCGUGUGAGGGGGUGACCCCAUCCCAAAACUGCCCCAGACCAGGGUGGCCCAUGCCGGGGCGGCGACACUCACCGUCCUGGGGCGCUGCCUCGCUGCCGCUGCUGCCUCCCGACGGCUCUGGUACGGCCUUACCGCUGCCGGCGGGCGGAGGACCGGCCGGGGGGGUCCCGUUCAUCCCGGCUGCCACCUCCUCCAGGUCCAGGAGGUGGCUGACGCUGAAGUUUUUCCGACUUUGGGGGUUUUCGGGCGGCUCGGGGCCGCGCACGGCGCUGGGGGCGAACGGCUUGUCCAUGGCGAAGGCUGGCGCCGAGUCCAUGGCUCCCCCCUCGGCCCGGAGCCCACCCCGAGGUGCGGGGCCGCUCCCCGGCGCCCUUCCUCUUCCCGACUUCCCUCCCCCCAAAAAAGAGGAUAAUAAUAAUAGUAAU